CCAAUAGCGUAUAUUAAAGUUGUUGCAGUUAAAAAGCUCGUAGUUGAAUUUCGGGGUUAGUAGGUUGGUCAUGCCAAUGGUAUGCACUGGCUUUACUGAUUCCUCCUUCUUGAAGAACUGUAAUGCCAUUAAUUUGGUGUUGCAGGGAAUCAGGACUGUUACUUUGAAAAAAUUAGAGUGUUUAAAGCAGGCUUACGCUUGAAUACAUUAGCAUGGAAUAAUGAAAUAGGACGUUGAUCCUAUUUUGUUGGUUUCUAGGAUUGACGUAAUGAUUAAUAGGGAUAGUUGGGGGCAUUAGUAUUCAAUUGUCAGAGGUGAAAUUCUUGGAUUUAUUGAAGACUAACUACUGCGAAAGCAUUUGCCAAGGAUGUUUUCAUUAAUCAAGAACGAAAGUUAGGGGAUCGAAGACGAUCAGAUACCGUCGUAGUCUUAACCAUAAACUAUGCCGACUAGGGAUCGGAUGAUGUUAAUUUUUUAAUGACUCAUUCGGCGCCUUACG
rnacentral:rRNA from 1 species